UACGUAGGGUGCGAGCGUUGUCCGGAAUUAUUGGGCGUAAAGGGCUCGUAGGCGGUUUGUCGCGUCGGGAGUGAAAACACUGGGCUUAACUCAGUGCUUGCUUCCGAUACGGGCAGACUAGAGGUAUGCAGGGGAGAACGGAAUUCCUGGUGUAGCGGUGAAAUGCGUAGAUAUCUGGAGGAACACCGGUGGCGAAGGCGACAUCCUGGACCGGUAUUGACGCUGAGGCGCGAAAGCCAGGGGAGCAAACGGG
rnacentral:rRNA from 1 species